GCGGGAGUAGCUCAGUUGGUAGAGCACACGGUUGUGGCCCGUGUGGCCGUGGGUUCAAGUCCCAUCUCUCGCCCCA
rnacentral:tRNA from 1 species